rnacentral:rRNA from 3 species
UGCAGUCGAGCGGACAGAUGGGAGCUUGCUCCCUGAUGUUAGCGGCGGACGGGUGAGUAACACGUGGGUAACCUGCCUGUAAGACUGGGAUAACUCCGGGAAACCGGGGCUAAUACCGGAUGGUUGUUUGAACCGCAUGGUUCAGACAUAAAAGGUGGCUUCGGCUACCACUUACAGAUGGACCCGCGGCGCAUUAGCUAGUUGGUGAGGUAACGGCUCACCAAGGCGACGAUGCGUAGCCGACCUGAGAGGGUGAUCGGCCACACUGGGACUGAGACACGGCCCAGACUCCUACGGGAGGCAGCAGUAGGGAAUCUUCCGCAAUGGACGAAAGUCUGACGGAGCAACGCCGCGUGAGUGAUGAAGGUUUUCGGAUCGUAAAGCUCUGUUGUUAGGGAAGAACAAGUGCCGUUCAAAUAGGGCGGCACCUUGACGGUACCUAACCAGAAAGCCACGGCUAACUACGUGCCAGCAGCCGCGGUAAUACGUAGGUGGCAAGCGUUGUCCGGAAUUAUUGGGCGUAAAGGGCUCGCAGGCGGUUUCUUAAGUCUGAUGUGAAAGCCCCCGGCUCAACCGGGGAGGGUCAUUGGAAACUGGGGAACUUGAGUGCAGAAGAGGAGAGUGGAAUUCCACGUGUAGCGGUGAAAUGCGUAGAGAUGUGGAGGAACACCAGUGGCGAAGGCGACUCUCUGGUCUGUAACUGACGCUGAGGAGCGA